UGACCUCAGAUCGGGUGGGACUACCCGCUGAACUUAAGCAUAUCAAUAAGCGGAGGAAAAGAAACUAACAAGGAUUCCCCUAGUAACGGCGAGUGAAGAGGGAAAAGCUCAAAUUUUGAAUCUGGUGCCUUUGGUAUCCGAGUUGUAAUCUAGAGAAGUGUUUUCNGCCUUGGACCACACAUAAAUUUCCUGGAAUGGGAUGUCAUAGAGGGUGAGAAUCCCGUUUGUGGUGUGGACUACCUGGGCUCUGUGAUACACUCUCAACGAGUCGAGUUGUUUGGGAAUGCAGCUCAAAAUGGGUGGUAAAUUCCAUCUAAAGCUAAAUAUUGGCGAGAGACCGAUAGCGAACAAGUACCGUGAGGGAAAGAUGAAAAGCACUUUGGAAAGAGAGUGAAACAGUACGUGAAAUUGUUGAAA
rnacentral:rRNA from 1 species